rnacentral:rRNA from 1 species
UACGUAGGGAGCAAGCGUUGUCCGGAAUCAUUGGGCGUAAAGCGCGCGUAGGUGGUCAUGUAAGUCCGCUGUGAAAGUCAAAGGCUCAACCUUUGAAAGCCGGUGGAUACUGCAUGGCUAGAGUACGGAAGAGGCGAGUGGAAUUCCUGGUGUAGCGGUGGAAUGCGCAGAUAUCAGGAGGAACACCAAUAGCGAAGGCAGCUCGCUGGGACGUCACUGACACUGAGGCGCGAAAGCGUGGGGAGCGAACAGG